rnacentral:lncRNA from 1 species
AAAAAUCGAAAAAAUCGAACCAUAUUUUAAAAUUUCGGUUUGAAUCGGUUCGGUUAUUCGGUUUCGAAUUUUUUGCUCACCCCUAAUUAAAGUCAAUUAAAUCAUGAAUGUCUUUAUUACAUGAUACAAAUGCAAAUUUCAUGUCAUGCUUAUCAUAUAAUACGUGUUUACUUAAAAUAUGCACAUAAUAAUAAUUAUAUUACUAUGCAAAUUAUUCUUUAAAAUAAUUAAUCAAACUAAUGAUAGUCAAAUUAAUUAAAUAGUGCAGUCACUUAAAUCAAAAUAUAACAGGGCCAUUUUAAAAUAAAUUUGCAGCCCAAGAUCCUCUAAAAUUUGCCCAACUCAAUAAAAUAACUUGGCCCAAUACUUUAAUAAAAUCUAACCCAUGUAUUUAUUUAACAAAAAUCGCAGCCCACAUUUCUUUUAAAAACUGGCCUAUAACUCGGCCCAAACCUAGCCCAGGGCCCAACCCUAACCCCUUAUCACUCCAUCUCUCUCAUUCCUCUCACAGCUGCGCCUCUCCCACUCUCUCUCACGGAAUCCGGCCACUCCACCUUCUCCCUCACUGAACUCCGGCCGCCACGACCCUCCUCCGGUGAAUGGCCGUCGGCCGACCAUUCAUCUCCCUCGACCUCCUCUCUCUCUCUCUCUCCCUUCCAGAUUCAGCUCGCGCACACAGAGACAGCGGCGGUGCCGCUCCCUUCACAGACGAGAGCCGCCGCCGACUGCCGCCAGACCGUCUCCUCUCCUCUCAGGUCGACAGCACCGCCAACACCACCCUCUCUCCUUGAUGUGCUUCCUGUUGUUUCUGGUCAGCUGUUGGAGCUCUGAAACUUGAGCUCAGAAAUUUCUCACGAAAUUGGCUUUGUGUGGAAUGAGUGAAGGGGGAGGCAUUGGCUGUUGUAAAAUUUUCAACUUGGCAGAGGAGUGAGGAUUUGAGAAUGGCUUAAAGUUGAGGGUAGGUGUACGUGAGUGAUAAGAGUGAGUAUAUGGUGGCUGAUGUGAUGAGUGAGAGUGAUUUGAGGGAGAAGACUUGACAAUUAAAAUCCCUCAAUAUUGAAUUAUCGGUACAGUAUCGGGACAGUAAUAAUCUUUUAGCUUUCGCAAAAUAAAUAGCUCGUGUAGCUGUUAAAUGCUAAAUGUAAUUAACUCAAAUUUACAAAUACUUUUUGUAAAUAAUUUUUAUUGAAAUUAAAAUAAAUUUAUUUUCUUACUCCGAC